AGAAAAUAUUGGAAAAAAUUUUGUUCUCUUCGGGUGAGAUAGUACCACAAUUUGACUCAACAAUGUUAUCUGCUUCAUUAAUAAUUCUCUUCUGCUUAAAUAGCAGAAUUACACCGAAAUAAAAGGAAACAAUAAAGCAAACUUGCGGACUGACUUGCAGAACAAUAAUGGAAAAUGCGGACUGACUUGCGGACUAAGAACCGAAACUGCAGCUCACGAAACAGAGCCUAAAACAAAAUAAAAACAGAGCUUAAAACUAGAAUGCUUAAAAAUAGAAUGACACUAACGGAAAUCAUCCGCUUCGUGCGCUCGUGCGGACUUCAUGCGCGCUUCAUGCGUAUAAGCUCACUGACCAGUUAUGCAUGCUACGCUCGUGCGCACUUCAUGCGCGCCUCAUGCGUAUAUGCUCACGGACCCAGUCAUGCUCACUGACCCAGUCACGCUGCAUGCCUUCUUCACGUAUCAGAUCAUCCCAAAUAUUUGGGAUUUGGUUUACGGAGUCUUGUGGAACGACGUGGCCUAUCAUUA